UAACACUGUUCAGUUCUGUGGACAUUCGAACACAGGCUCUCCAGAGUUAAGUCCAGACAAAAAUCAUAUCACCUGAAACACACUCCGGUUUUUAAGGUCUGAAGAAAUAUGAGGACAUGACGACUGAAAUCAUGGAGAGUCCAUGUUUCUGAUUUAUAACUUCUCCUGUGUUUGUCAAAGAAAGCUGAAAACUCAAACCUAGUAUAUAAUGAUAAGACGUAGUAACCUGUUGUAAGGAAGAAGUGGAUCUUCCACUCCUUUCUUGAUCUUCAAAAGGUUUCAUCAGGAUCGGAACACUUGGUGUCUACAACAUAGCAACAGUGCAGUGUCAGAAAUAUUCAAAUUUAUUCAUCCUGAUUAGUUAAUAAAUGAAUAAACAUUGUUAUUCAUUGAACAUCGCUCACAGGAGGGUUUGGGAUUAAUAUAAGACACUAUAGAAAGUUAACACUGUUCAGCUCUGUGUAACAGCAAUAUGGGGACAUUCGAACACAGGCUCUCCAGAGUUAAGUCCAGACAAAAAUCAUAUCACCUGAAACACACUCCGGUUUUUCAGGUCUAAAGAAAUAUGAGGACAUGACGACUGAAAUCAUGGAGAGUCCAUGUUUCUGAUUUAUAACUUCUUCUGUGUUUGUCAAAGAAAGCUGAAAACUCAAACCUAGUAUAUCAUGACAAGAAGUAGUAACCUGUUGUAAGGAUGAAGUGUGUCUAUCAUUCCAUUCAUGGUCUCCAGAGGGUUCAGUCAGGUCACUUGGUGUCUGCAACAUAACAUUACGGUGUCAAAAUAUUCAGCAUUCUUCAUUUUGACCAGUUAAGAAAUGAAUAAAUAUUAAUUAUCAUUGAACAUUGCUCACGGGAGAGUUUGGGAUGAAUAUACCACACUAUAGAAAGUUAACACUGUUCAGUUCUGUGGAACAGCAAUAUGGGGACAUUCGAACACAGGCUCUCCAGAGUUAGGUUAAGACAAAAGUCAUGUCACCUGAAACACACUGAGGUUUUUCAGGUCUGAAGAAAUAUGAGGACAUGACGACUGAAAUUAUGGAGAGUCUAUGUUUCUGACUUAUAACUUCUCCUGUGUUUGUCAAAGAAAGCUGAAAACUCAAACCUAGUAUAUCAUGAUAAGAAGUAGUAACCUGUUGUAAGAAUGAAGUGGAUCUCUCACUCCAUUCAUGGUCUCCAGAGGGUUCAGUCAGGUCACUUGGUGUCUGCAACAUAACAUUACGGUGUCAAAAGUUUCAGCAUUCUUCAUUCUGACCAGUUAAGAAAUGAAUAAAUAUUAAUUAUCAUUGAACAUUGCUCACGGGAGAGUUUGGGAUGAAUAUACCACACUAUAGAAAGUUAACACUGUUCAGUUCUGUGGAACAGCAAUAUGGGGACAUUCGAACACAGGCUCUCCAGAGUUAGGUUAAGACAAAAGUCAUGUCACCUGAAACACACUCAGGUUUUUCAGGUCUGAAGAAAUAUGAGGACAUGACGACUGAAAUCAUGGAGAGUCUAUGUUUCUGACUUAUAACUUCUCCUGUGUUUGUCAAAGAAAGCUGAAAACUCAAACCUAGUAUAUCAUGAUAAGAAGUAGUAACCUGUUGUAAGAAUGAAGUGGAUCUCUCACUCCAUUCAUGGUCUCCAGAGGGUUCAGUCAGGUCACUUGGUGUCUGCAACAUAACAUUACGGUGUCAAAAGUUUCAGCAUUCUUCAUUCUGACCAGUUAAGAAAUGAAUAAAUAUUAAUUAUCAUUGAACAUUGCUCACGGGAGAGUUUGGGAUGAAUAUACCACACUAUAGAAAGUUAACACUGUUCAGUUCUGUGGAACAGCAAUAUGGGGACAUUCGAACACAGGCUCUCCAGAGUUAGGUUAAGACAAAAGUCAUGUCACCUGAAACACACUCAGGUUUUUCAGGUCUGAAGAAAUAUGAGGACAUGACGACUGAAAUCAUGGAGAGUCUAUGUUUCUGACUUAUAACUUCUCCUGUGUUUGUCAAAGAAAGCUGAAAACUCAAACCUAGUAUAUCAUGAUAAGAAGUAGUAACCUGUUGUAAGAAUGAAGUGGAUCUCUCACUCCAUUCAUGGUCUCCAGAGGGUUCAGUCAGGUCACUUGGUGUCUGCAACAUAACAUUACGGUGUCAAAAGUUUCAGCAUUCUUCAUUCUGACCAGUUAAGAAAUGAAUAAAUAUUAAUUAUCAUUGAACAUUGCUCACGGGAGAGUUUGGGAUGAAUAUACCACACUAUAGAAAGUUAACACUGUUCAGUUCUGUGGAACAGCAAUAUGGGGACAUUCGAACACAGGCUCUCCAGAGUUAGGUUAAGACAAAAGUCAUGUCACCUGAAACACACUCAGGUUUUUCAGGUCUGAAGAAAUAUGAGGACAUGACGACUGAAAUCAUGGAGAGUCUAUGUUUCUGACUUAUAACUUCUCCUGUGUUUGUCAAAGAAAGCUGAAAACUCAAACCUAGUAUAUCAUGAUAAGAAGUAGUAACCUGUUGUAAGGAUGAAGUGGAUCUCUCACUCCAUUCAUGGUCUCCAGAGGGUUCAGUCAGGUCACUUGGUGUCUGCAACAUAACAUUACGGUGUCAAAAUAUUCAGCAUUCUUCAUUCUGACCAGUUAAGAAAUGAAUAAAUAUCAAUUAUCAUUGAACAUUGCUCACGGGAGAGUUUGGGAUGAAUAUACCACACUAUAGAAAGUUAACACUGUUAAGUUCUGUGGAACAGCAAUAUGGGGACAUUCGAACACAGGCUCUCCAGAGUUAGGUUAAGACAAAAGUCAUGUCACCUGAAACACACUCAGGUUUUUCAGGUCUCAAGAAAUAUGAGGACAUGACGACUGAAAUCAUGGAGAGUCCAUGUUUCUGAUUUAUAACUUCUCCUGUGUUUGUCAAAGAAAGCUGAAAACUCAAACCUAGUAUAUCAUGAUAAGAAGUAGUAACCUGUUGUAAGGAUGAAGUGGAUCUCUCACUCCAUUCUUGGUUUCCAGAGGGUUCAGUCAGGUACCUGUCACUUGAUGUCUGCAACAUAACAACAUUACGGUGUCAAAAGUUUCAGCAUUCAUCAUUCUGACCAGUUAAGAAAUGAAUAAACCUUAUUUCUCAUUGAACAUUGCUCACAGGAGAGUUUGGGAAUAAUGUACAACACUAUAGUAAGUUAACACUGUUCAGCUCUGAGUAACAGCAAUAUGGGGACAUUCGAACACAGGCUCUCCAGAGUUAGGUUAAGACAAAAGUCAUGACACCUGAAACACACUCAGGUUUUUCAGGUCUAAAGAAAUAUGAGGACAUGACGACUGAAAUCAUGGAGAGUCCAUGUUUCUGAUUUAUAACUUCUGCUGUGUUUGUCAAAGAAAGCUGAAAACUCAAACCUAGUAUAUCAU